rnacentral:rRNA from 1 species
GUGGGGAAUAUUGGACAAUGGGCGGAAGCCUGAUCCAGCCAUGCCGCGUGUGUGAAGAAGGCCUUUUGGUUGUAAAGCACUUUAAGCGAGGAGGAGGCUCCUUUAGUUAAUACCUAAAGUGAGUGGACGUUACUCGCAGAAUAAGCACCGGCUAACUCUGUGCCAGCAGCCGCGGUAAUACAGAGGGUGCGAGCGUUAAUCGGAUUUACUGGGCGUAAAGCGUGCGUAGGCGGCUUUUUAAGUCGGAUGUGAAAUCCCUGAGCUUAACUUAGGAAUUGCAUUCGAUACUGGAAAGCUAGAGUAUGGGAGAGGAUGGUAGAAUUCCAGGUGUAGCGGUGAAAUGCGUAGAGAUCUGGAGGAAUACCGAUGGCGAAGGCAGCCAUCUGGCCUAAUACUGACGCUGAGGUACGAAAGCAUGGGGAGCAA